rnacentral:rRNA from 1 species
AGCCGGAAUUGCUGUAAUGGCAGGUCAGCAUACUGCCGUGAAUACGUUCCCGGGCCUUGUACACACCGCCCGUCACACCAUGAGAGUUGGGAAUACCCGAAGCCUGUGAGCUAACGUUAAGAGGCAGCAGUCGAAGGUAGAAUCAAUGAUUGGGGUGAAGUCGUAACAAGGUAGC